rnacentral:rRNA from 1 species
UACGGAGGGUGCGAGCGUUGUCCGGAAUCAUUGGGCGUAAAGGGCGCGUAGGUGGCCACUUCAAGCGUGCGGUGAAAGUCGGGGGCUCAACCCCUGAUCGGCCGUGCGAACUGGGGGGCUGGAGCACUGUAGAGGCAGGCGGAAUUCCGGGUGUAGCGGUGGAAUGCGUAGAUAUUGGGAAGAACACCGGUGGCGCAAGCGGCUUGCUGGGCUGUAACUGACGCUGAGGAACGAAAGCUAGGGGAGCGAAUGGG